AUUCGAUUUUGCUCUCGUUUAAAAUUUAAUUAAUGAUAUUAAUUCAAUUGAUGCGUGCAUAAUUCUGGUAGAGAGAGAGAGCAGCUGUUUGAGAGAGCAGCUGUUUAAUUAGAGGUAUCGAUCUUCAAUCCAACAUAUUCCCCAAUGAAAUAAUGGUCUCUUUAAUUGAAUUGUUGCCGUUAAAGAAUUGAUGCGCUCAAUAAUUCUUCGAACAAAAUUGGUGUAUAAUAAAUUCUCCCUUCAUCCCGUUUAUUUUCACGAUGUCCUUCGAUGUGUUCCGAAUAAUUUCGCUGUCCUAGCAGAUGGGACCAUCACCAUACCACAGAAUAGCCUAUAAGUGUAAUAUCUAGAUAUACAUGUAUAUCUGGACAUCCCUCCAAUGUCUUCCGAGGCCAACGUUUUACUACCAACCAGAUAUGUACAUAAUGCUGCAACAAGUUACAGGAAUAUGGAAUUUAACAAAGAAAAAAAAACCCGGACGAUUGUAGACUCCUAGCUUGGUAAUAUGGUCAUCAGACUUCGGUGCAGCCAUCCUAGGCCUAAUGCUGGAUUAAGGGUGGAGUAUUUGCACUCAUGGUUGCAUAGAUGGUUAUUCUAGAAUGGCCGUGUGUUUUGAAUCUUCCUCUAACAGCUCAUCUUAUCAAUUGACCUUGAUGCGCGCAUCACCUCAAUUGAUGAGAGCAAUAAUUGAUUGGAUGCGCGCAUCAAAUCAAUUAUUGCUCCCACCAAUUGAAUUGAUGCAUGCAUUAAAUUAAUUAUUGUCUUCAUCAAUUCAAUUGAAGGGCACAUCAAAUCAAUUAUUGCUCUCAUUAAUUGAAUUGAUGCGCGCAUCAAUUCUGCUGAUGAGAGCACUAAUAUUGACUAUGAGGGCAAUAAUUGAUUUGAUGCGUGCAUCAGUUGUAUUAUUGCACGCAAUAAUUGAUUUAUUAACGUUUUCAAAUAAUAAAUUAUGCCUUGAA